ACAAUUGGUAGUGUUAGACCGGUUUGUCGUUGGGAAUAUUGGUUGACACUGGUCUCUUAGUAACGAGGUUGUUUCUAAGGGAGAUCUAUCUUAAAGCGUAGUCGGUUUGUUGCAGCAAAUGGCCGAAAUUACGACGGAGUAAAUGAUGGCGUCAAAGUUUUGACUAUGUUUGUUGUUGCGUGGCGAAUCGUUUGUAGACAGUAGAAUUGGCUAUAGAUGAAAGAAAAGGAGGGUCGAGUUGAUGAAUUUCCAUUUGGGAGUUGGUUUCAAGAUUGCUGGCGAACAGGAUACUAAACAAUGGAACAUGAUGGAACAUGAUUUUCAAAACAAUUGUUCAUCGCAUAGGGAAAAGGCAUUUUUACUCAGUUAAGGUGUCAACUAGAUCCUUUUUCAGAAGGAACAACAACUUAAAUUUCUGAUUUGAAAAAAACUCUUGGUGACUUGUGUGUAUCAAGAAGAGUGACAGAAAGUUUGUUGUAUGACCUCAGAUGUGAGCUUGAGGCACACUUGGUUAGACUAAUAUGUUAUUUCCUUCAAAGUGACAGCCAAUUUUGAGAGGAUCAUCACAGUUGUCACAUAGAAGUAAGCCAUGAAAUGUAUUGAGGAGACAAAAGAUCAAGGUAUCAGUUAUAUGGAUAUAUGAAGCUCAGAACAUAAUGGUAAAGAAGAGUAUACUAAGAAGAUAAUGAAGCAGAAUGUUACCACUUUAGUUGUCUUCAGCUUCAUUUGCCACUGCCACUGUAGAUACCUUAGCAAGGUUUGAUCUGGAAAUCUGUGGGAUAAGAAGUCAUUAACAAAAGGAGCACAUCAGAAGGAGUAAAUGACAUAUAAAAUGGGCAUUAAAAUUUCACAAAAAUUUAUGAUUAGCGGUUCUAGUAUGUAAAAUGCAAAAUUUUUUGUAAGUGUUAUGACUAUCAAUGGUAAUUGAUUUCACUUUACUUUAAUCAACUUUCAGAUUUAACAAAUCUGAGGUAGGCUUAAAACAGAAUACAAGACUCCUUAAAAAUAAGCUACCUAUUAACACUAGGGCAGACCACUUCACCUCCCCCACUUACCAGAACUACUUUCCCUAUUCUUUAUGAUAAGUGUGUGGGUUCUUUCACGUCCCCCACUAACCAUUACCAAGAAGAUGCAGGACACAGGGCCUACGGCUUAUUGUCCUUAUCUGAGAAAACUAGAAUGUCGAAGUGCUUGCAGAUGUCAUAGCAAAGGCAGCACAUUCUCCUCAGUUAUUUUAAGACCCUGAGUUUGGGUCUGGUCUAGGUCUUGGACCCCGACCUCCCGCACAGUAGUCCGGUGCUCAUGCUCACGAGCUAACCAGGCGGCAGUUUUCUUGUGUAAUUGUAGUUGUGAUCAAAUUUAAUUGUAAACUACACAAGUUGAAACUUACUGUUUGACAGAUGUCCAACAUAUGGGUAAAAAACAAUCUGUUUUGUUGUGAGUUCUGUGAGAUAUAGGAGAUAAUUUGUCACUAAAAUGAUGUGAUCCACCUUAAAUUCCUGAAGUUGAUAAGAUGUAAAGAAGGAAAUUUUUGUUAGAUUUCAUUUGUAAUGUCAAUGUAUAAUCUUUAUACAAAAAAUGAUCAAAUGAAUACAUGAUUAAGGUGUUAAACUACCCUGAAUUAGGUUUUCAGUAUACCAGAAGUUUACUUAAGGUUUCUAAAGAAGUUUGUUGCGAUCAGUGUACCACGGGUUGUGAAAUGAAUUAGGCAUUAAUGUCAUUGAUUGGAACAUUUUGAUUUGAUGUAUUUGAUUGACUAUCAUUAUAGGUAUGGUGUUACAAGGGUGGCAAAGUUCUAAGGUUUAGAUAAAUACUAUAGUAAUGAUAAGGGACAAAUAUUCACUGUAUUUUCUAUUUGAAAUGUUUGAAAGUGUUACCAUUAUUUAGGUUUAUUGGUAAUGUUCAAUUCUAGGGAUGAAUUUAAAAAAAAUUCACUUACUGUGGCUGGUGACCUUUGUAACUGGUUUUGAAUUGUUUUCAACUGGUAAUCAAUGGUGCAUAAAUUCUGAAUCAUUGUGAUAAAUGACUUUUUCAUUUUCUCAAAAUAAUCUAGCAAUGAAUUGAAAGAAUUUGAUAAGUUAUAUGUAUUUUGUUAGGUGAUUAUUAAUAGACAAGUACAAGAUAGAUGUGGUAAAAGUUGAAGGAAAGAUUAAAAAGUAUAGGGUAAUCUAUGUACAAGGUAUUUUUAUAAAAAUUUUCAGUUAAAAGAUAAAAGAGACCUUGAACGGAUGUAUUCAUUUAAUAUAUACAUGUUUUUCACGUCAAACAAAAAAUUUGUACAUUUUUAACUUAAGUUUUGAAGAGAAUUUUUUUUGAAAAUAUUGAAAUGUGCAUGGUUUUUCAACAAGUUAUUUUUUAAUUGAAUUGCUUAGUCAGUGAUAAUGGCUAAUAAGAUGUCAACAUUAGCGAGUCAUGACAUUUUUGUUGUUAUUUUGAGGCAGUGAGUCUUAUAUUAUGUCGAAGAAAUGUUUAAACAAGAAUUCACUUACAUUGUUGUAACAUUCUGCAGCGCCUACAGCAUAUGGCAUCUAAAAUGUUUGGACAGAAAUAUUUUCACAAACAGGUAAUAUAGUGACUAUUAAGAACAUAAAUCAUACUUUCAAAGGAACUGAACUGUCUUUCAACAGUAUUAUUUAUGUACUGUAAGGAGGAUAUAGCAGUAAUUUAAGUUGAAGGAAUACAGUUUGUUUUAAGUUUGAUCCUUUUUGUGUGUAUCUGUUGUGGGAAGAAUUGUUUCAGGAUAUUCAUGAUGUCACUUAUGGCUGAAUAGAUGUUUUGCAUUAUGUGCAAGUUAGGAACUAUAAAUUAAAAUGUAUGCUCAUUGUGUUAGGAUUGAUAAGAUGUGAUUGCAUUUCAUAGGCUGGGUAUGGUAUAUAAAUAUGUAUCAGCCAAUUUGGAGCUUCAACAUUCUUCUAAGACAGCACCCCUUUUGAAGUUUUGAACAUUAGUUCAUUCCUGGUGGCAAAGUUUUGUGAAAAUUUCUAACUCAAAAUUCUCCAACCAACCAAGAUUUUUGGUGUCUUGUGUCAGAUAGAGGAAAAACAAAAAGGCUACUUAAAACAGGUUCAGUAGUACAUUGAACUUUGUAAUUUGUUUGUGAUGUAUAUAUGUACUUUCAAGCAAUGUGAUUAGCUGUUGGGCUGGUCUGGUUACCAUCUAUUAAAUAUACAUCAUUGGUAAGAGCUUGAUGUUCUGAAAAGAAAAAAAUAAAAUAGAACAAAACAUACAGCUAGGUUGUCAGUGAAAUCAUUAGCAACCAUAUUUGUCGCAUAUCAUGUAAUUCAUUACUGAUGGGUUGAUCAGUAGACAAUAUAUGUUUACAUAAAAUUUACUCUAAGAAAUAAAUUGAAUUUGUAAGUAGUUAAAAUGCACCAAUCAUAUUAUGAAUUGUUGAUUGCAGUGUUUGGAAUUUUUUGGUGUCUUGUGUCAGAUAGAGGAUGAACAAAAAGGCUGCCUAAAACAGGUUCAGUUUUACGUCGUAUUUGUUGUUAAGAAAGCUUAUUUACCGUUCUUGUAAAAUUCCAUGAUGAAUUCUGCCAUUGUCAGACGAAACGCAUGGGAGAUAAAUAAAAGUUUUUACUUUCUCA